CAUCGAACGACGAACGGUGCAUUCCUGAGCACCAGACGCUGUCAAGGUACCAGUUCGUUUGAAUCCCAUCGGUGACCCAAUUUGUCCGAGCUCUACUGAGGAUUACUGUCACAUUCACCUACAACGAUCCAGCAUCAUUAUGCUUCGACCAAAGCAACGGAGAACGAACAGGAGUCAAGAGCCACGGUUCAAGAGGGUACCCCAGAUCUCCUGCACAGAAGAGAGAAAGCUAUAGUUACUGAAAUUGUUUGAUGGAUGUUAC